AAGUCGUAACAAGGUCUCCGUAGGUGAACCUGCGGAGGGAUCAUUAAUGAGUGAGGGCUUCGGCUCGACCUCCAACCCUUUGUGAUUAAACCAAUGUUGCCUCGGGGGUGACCCGGACUCGUGUCGGGUGGCCCCCGCUGGACCACUUCAAAACACUGCAUCUUUGCGUCGGAUUAACAAGUUUAAUUAAUUAAAACUUUCAACAACGGAUCUCUUGGUUCUG
rnacentral:misc_RNA from 1 species